rnacentral:sRNA from 1 species
CGGGAUGCCGGCUUGGAGUUAGAGAUGAGUCACUGCUGAGAGCAGCUGCAGUAGCUGAGCAGUGGCAGCAGAGAGGCAGACGUGAGCUGAGGGCGCAGAGGCAGGCAGCAUCUCUGAGGGUCCCCAAGGAACAUGGCUGGGAGCCGUGAGGUGGUGGCCAUGGACUGCGAGAUGGUGGGGCUGGGGCCCCACCGGGAGAGUGGCCUGGCUCGUUGCAGCCUCGUGAACGUCCACGGUGCUGUGCUGUACGACAAGUUCAUCCGGCCUGAGGGAGAGAUCACCGAUUACAGAACCCGGGUCAGCGGGGUCACCCCUCAGCACAUGGUGGGGGCCACACCAUUUGCCGUGGCCAGGCUAGAGGUCCCCUUCCCAUCCUCUCCAACGGCAGCUGAGUGAAAGCAAGCUGACUGGCCUGUGUGACCAGAGCAGGGCAGGCUGUCCAUGUGGGAGGCGAGGCGAGGAACGCGGGGCUGGGGCACUCACAGCUGGGCGCCUGGGCUGCUGGAGGCCUGGAGUGGUCGUUCACUCUUCUGGCUCAGUGUGGCAGUGGCAGGCGGGUUCUGGAUUCAUCCCACUGGCUUCAAGGCCUGGCUUUGCCACUAACUAGCCGUGUGACUGUCCCAGUUAUCAAAUGGUGCUUGGCAAAUCACACCAAAACUUACCGGUUCAAACAAUGUCAAUACUUAUUUCGCUCGGCCACCUGCAGUUUGGGCAGGUGCUCUGCAGCAGGACAGGCCAUCAGUUAAGGCACCUUGAAGGCUGGGGGCUGGAACCAUUGGAAGGUUUGCUCACCCACCUGUCUGGUGGCUGGUGCUGGCCUGCCUUGGCCACAUCACUAUCUCGGUGGCUCUUCCCCGUGGUCUUUCCAGCAUGGUGGCUUUAGGGUGGCCAGACAUUUAUUUAUUUAUUUAUUUAUUGAGACGGAGUCGUGCUCUGUCGCCCAAGCUGGAGUGCAGUGGCACGAUCUCAGCUCACUUGCAAUCUCCCUCCCAGGCUCAAGCAAUUCUCCUGCCUCAGCCUCCCGAGUAACUGGGAAUAGCCACGGCGCAUGGGUAAUUUUUGCAUUUUUAGUAGAGACAGAGUCUCACCAUGUUGGCCAGGCUGGUCUCAAACUCCUGGCCUCAGGUGAUCCACCUGCCUCACCUCCCAAAGUGCUGGGAUUACAGACGUGAGACACCGUGCCUGGCUGGUGGCCGGACUUCUUAUAGAAUUGCGGUCCCAGAGAGAAGUCAGAAGUCAUACAGCCCAGCCCAUAUGCAAUGGGAGGGGAGUUUGAUUCCAUCUUUUUUAAGAAGAGUGUCAAGGAAUUUGCAAACUUGUUUUAAAAUCACCAGAGUAAGCCUGGGCAUGUCACUCCUCUGCAUUUCAGAUAUUUCCUUUGUAAAACUCAGUUAAAUGCAGUGCUCCCUCCUCACUGUUAGUUUUCUGUGGCUGCCGUAAGGAAGCCAUCAACUUAGUGAUUCGCAGCGACACAGAUGUCUUCUCUUACAGUUCUGUAGUUUCGAAGUUCAGCGUGGGUCUCACUGGUCUAAAAUCAAAGUGUCAGUGGGGCUAGGUUCCUUCUGGAUGCUCUGGGGAAGAAUCCAUUUCCUUGCCCUUUCUGGCUUCUAGAGGCUGCCUGAAUACCUUGACUCACGGCCCCUCCCUCCAUCUUCAAAGCCAGCAACAGCCUGUUUUCCUCACGUGGAUUCACUCUGACCUCCACAUGUAAGGAGGCUUGUGAUUAUGUUGGGACCACAUGGGUAGGCCAGGUGAUCUCCCCAUUUGAAGGUCGACUGAUUAGCAAUCUAAAUUCUGCCCGGAACUUUAAUUCCUCUUUGCCAGGUAAUGCAUUCACAGAUCCUGGGGACUAGGGUGUGGACAUCUUUGGGAGGUCAUUAUUCUGCCUGCCAUAAUAGAAUUGUUGGGAAGAUUAAACAACAUAAUAUACAUGACGUAUGUUGAGGCACGCUUGGCACCUGGGAAAUACUCAGGAUGUACUAACCAUUGCUCCUACACAGUUCAGCUCCUGAAGGAGUCCAGGUGGGCUUUUGGCACAGAAUGAAACUAUCAGGUGUGAGGAGGGUCCUAGUCCAAUCUCUUCUUUUCAAAGAUGAUACAUUUGAAGCCCAGGGAGGACUGAUAAUUUGCCCAAGGUCACACAGCCAGUCAAGGAGGGGUUGCUCCCUUGCCAGCCCCAGACCCACCCAGAAGAUGCUGGGUCAUGUAGGGGUGGGCACAUGUCUUCCUGGCCAGAUCCUGCAGCUCCUGAAAGGCAAGCUGGUGGUGGGUCAUGACCUGAAGCACGACUUCCAGGCACUGAAAGAGGACAUGAGCGGCUACACAAUCUACGACACGUCCACUGACAGGCUGUUGUGGCGUGAGGCCAAGCUGGACCACUGCAGGCGUGUCUCCCUGCGGGUGCUGAGUGAGCGCCUCCUGCACAAGAGCAUCCAGAACAGCCUGCUUGGACACAGCUCGGUGGAAGAUGCGAGGGCAACGAUGGAGCUCUAUCAAAUCUCCCAGAGAAUCCGAGCCCGCCGAGGGCUGCCCCGCCUGGCUGUGUCAGACUGAAGCCCCAUCCAGCCCGUUCCGCAGGGACUAGAGGCUUUCGGCUUUUUGGGACAGCAACUACCUUGCUUUUGGAAAAUACAUUUUU